UACAGAGGUCUCGAGCGUUGUUCGGAUUCAUUGGGCGUAAAGGGUGUGUAGGUGGCGCUGUAAGUCGGGUGUGAAAUCUCGGGGCUUAACUCCGAAACUGCAUUCGAUACUGCGGCGCUUGAGGACUGGAGAGGAGACUGGAAUUCAUGGUGUAGCAGUGAAAUGCGUAGAGAUCAUGAGGAAGACCAGUGGCGAAGGCGGGUCUCUGGACAGUUCCUGACACUGAGACACGAAGGCCAGGGGAGCAAACGGG
rnacentral:rRNA from 1 species